UACGGGGGCGCGAGUGUUAUUCAUCCUAACUGGCGUAAAGGGUGCGUAGCGGCUUAUUAUGUUUUUAAGCAAAUUCUCGUUUUAUCUGAGUCUCUUUUUUAUACUAAUAAGCUAGAGUUGAUAGCAGUUAACGGUACAGGCAGUGUAAGGGUGAAAUCUGUUGAAAUUGUACUGACUACCGGUUCUGGCAAAGGCGGUUUAUGGCUAUAGCAACUGACGCUGAGGCACGAAAGCGUGGUAGCGAACUGG
rnacentral:rRNA from 1 species